AAUUGUGGUGGUUUCUUUCUGGCUCAUUUGUUAAGUUUUCAAAUAGGCCUGAUUCUGCCACAUACAUUAUAUAGGAGCUGGCACUGACUUAAAAACAGAGAGAUCUUUCUUAAGUUUUUCCUGCGUCAGAGAUUGGCUCCCACAAGU
ensembl:snoRNA